AGGUCGCGGUCUCCACCUUCCCCGGAACUUCUUCCACCCUCCGUCCCGCCCCCGCCUCGUGUCAUGUCCCCGCCUUCCAGGACCCGGCGAGUGUUGUGGCUGCUGGGCAGCUGUCGCCGGGCUGUUGCUGAGCGCGGAGCCCGUUGGGGCCCGUGAGAGCCCCUGCUGAGCUCCCUCCUGCGCAGGAUGCCAGACCUGGAGCCGCUGGAGAUCCUGAAGUUGGUGAACUGCCCCGAGACCUUCACGCCGGACAUGAGGUGCAUCAUGGGCGAGGCUCCCUCGGUGCAGGGCUACUUCGUCCUGGCGGGAAUGAACUCUGCAGGCCUUUCGUUUGGUGGGGGAGCUGGCAGGUGGAGUUUGCUCCUGUGCUAUCAGAUGCUUCCUGUCACGAUGGGACUUAGAGGAGUGGAAAGACAGAAGCACAGUCCAGAAUUACGGCAUAUCUUAGAGACCCAGAUGGAGUCACAGAGAAGCCAAGAAAGCAGAGCUCUCCUACCCGGGCCCCACGACUUUCAGCCUCUCAUGUCGUUCUUUUCUUGUGUCAGAAAACUUAAAUAAAGAGAAAGUCCAGACUGAAAGCAAAUAUUCAACCCUUAUCUAAACAUAUUCUAUUAAGUCUAGGAACUAGUAACAGACUAUACUGUUUGCUUUAGAAACUGGAAAACAGAAGACAGAGAGAUAAGACAAAGACAAAUACUGUAUGAUCUCAUAAAGAAUCUAAAAAAAGGCAACCAACCAACCAACCUCAAACUCAUAGAAAAGAGAUCAGAUUUGUGGUUACCAGAGUUUGGGGUGGGGGAAUAGGAGGAUGGGCAUCAAAAGGUACAAACUUCCAUUUACCGGAUAAGCAUGAGGGGUGUGACACAACAUGAUGACUAUAGCUACCAAUGCCAUACAAUAUAAGACCUCAUUGCAAGGAAAAAAUUCUUUUGUUUGAUCUUUUCACUAUACCUAUAUAAACUUUGGUGGUAAUCAUUUCACAACAUAUGUCAGUCAGUCCAUUACGCUGUACACAGCACUGCACGUCACAAAGCAGCUUCGCUGGUAUUGCCGGUCUUCAUCCUGGCAGCAUAUGUUGCUCCCUAAAUUGUACAACUGCAGAUGAACAGCAUCUACUGAACAGACCACUCCAGUCAACUUUACAUGUGGAAAAAGAAUUCAAGCUGUUGAAUUCACACACAGCCUGUGGUAUGUGUGUAAGUGAAACACCCAUAUUAGCCCAGGUGGGCAGGAAGAGGAGACCCAACACAGGCCGGCAGGGAAAGGAGAGUACUACAGGGCCAGCAUCUCUGGUGGGUUCAGGCCUUUGUGUCUCAAGCUGAAUACUCUGUACUUAAGAGGAAGGCCAAGGAGGAAAGAUUUAAAGCCAGGACUAGUCUUGUCUUAGACAGAAGAAUGGGCAGAGCGGGUCACCCCCCAUUUACUCCCUUACUAAAUAACGGAUUUAGUGUGAACAGACAAGCACCUGCUGUCAUCCAUCAUGUUGGAAGACAUCUCAGAGAGAUGAGUGUAAGUUUCUUGAGGACAACAGCCAGCCUGCGAAGAGCCUGGGCAUGUCACAAAUUACCUCCUGGACUCAUGGAAAAUCAUAAAAGUGGAAGUAGCGCAGGAAAACCAGAAGGCAGAAAGAAUCCAGGACCUCCAAGUUAUGAAGCUGCUGGGGCCACAGAGCUUCCCUUCCUGAUGGAGUUUGGUCGGUACGGACACGGCAGCCAGGUGGUGACACCUGCAUGAGCAUUGGCACCUCAGAAUCAAUCACUGUCUGUGCCGGUGAAACAGGUGCUACCUUUAUGUUAGUACUGCAGGUGUGGACACAGCCCCUUCAUCUUAAUAUUAUUGUUAUAAUAUUUCUGAGUGAAAAAGCAUAUGAAAUUUUCUGGGCUGGUAAAUUCAUGCUCCAAUUAAUAAUCAAAAGACAACACUAUGAAUAAUGUAACUAAUAUUAAGAACAAGACAGAGCCUCCAAUCACUGCUGCUUGUCACAACUGGACAUAUGAAAUUAUAGGGAUAAAAAUUGCUAAAGAAGGAAAACUAUUAGCAUUUGCAUAUGAUAAGACUGAACCAUGAAAAUUGCAGAGAAUCAACCAGAAAACAAGUGUAAACAAAAUAGUAAGAAACUAGGUUGAAGUAUUUAUAUAUAUAGAAAAAAAUUUUCAUGAAUCAUACUCACAUAGAAGACAAUGGAACAAAGAUACCCUUCCCAUUCACAGUAGCAACACAAAAAUACUCAAAUAUACUUGUGAUAACAUCUAUAUGAAGAGAACUUCAAAAUAUCUCAAGUCAUCAAAAAACAAUUAAAAACAAAGUAUGUACUUUGAUUGUAGGUCAACACACCAUAAUGUCAAUUCUAAUUUAUGUGUAACACAAUCCAGAAAGUAUCACCAGGGUGUUCUUUGUUUUAACUAGAUGAUUAUAAAGUUGUAAGGGAAAAUUAAGAGACUAAUUGUUCCAGAGUUUUCCAAGGUAUGGAAAUUAGCACUACCAGAUAUUAAAAUAUAUAAUAAAGCCUCAAUAAUUUAAAGUAUGAUCUUGGAUCAUGGAUAGACCAACCAGACAAAAGUCCAGAAAUAAACCCAAAUACAUUUAGGAAUUCAGUAUUUGAUAAAGUUAGAAUCUCAAAUCAGUUAGUUAUCCAUGUGGAAAAAACCAGUUUGAUCCAUAUUUCAUAAAGUACACCAAGAGGCACCACAAAAUAAUGGGGCAUUUAAAUAUUUUUUUAAAACAUAAACCCAUAAAUAGCAACAACAUGAACUAUAAAAGUACUAAAAGAAAAUGAAAAAUUUUACAUUAGAGAAGUCCCUUCUAUGUUACCAAACUGUAGAAAGCACAAAAGAUUGAUCAAUUCAACUACAUAAAAUUUUGUUUCUGCAACAUAGAAAAUAUUUUCUGUAAUAAUUUCAAAAACCUUUCUACAUUGCAAAAAACACAACAGAAGACAAAUGACAAACUGGAGAAAGAUUUGCAACAGCAUGGACUGUCUGAUUCAGAGAAUGCCGGGAAGUUGAUAAAAAGAUCAAUAUAAAAACGGACAAAGGGUGUGACUAGAACAUUCAUUCCUGCACCGUUUAUUAAGCAUUUACUAUGUGCCAAGUACUUCUCUAGGAGCUGGGGAAACAAAGUUAAAAAAGACAAAUACCCUUGCUUUCAGGGAACUUCCAUUUAAGCAAGGGUAAUCUGAU